rnacentral:rRNA from 1 species
AUUGAACGCUGGCGGCAGGCCUAACACAUGCAAGUCGAACGAGUGGCGGACGGGUGAGUAAUGUCUGGGCAACUGCCUGAUGGAGGGGGAUAACUACUGGAAACGGUAGCUAAUACCGCAUACCAUCAGAUGUGCCCAGAUGGGAUUAGCUUGUUGGUGGGGUGACGGCUCACCAAGGCGGCGCUCCCUAGCUGGUCUGAGAGGAUGACCCGCAACACUGGAAGUGGAGCACGGGCCAGACUGUCACGGGGGGCAGCAGGGGGGGAUAGUGGACAAGGGGCGCAAGCCUGAAGCAGCCCUGCCGGGUGUAUGAAGAGGGGCUUCGGGUUGUAAAGUACUUUCAGCGGGGAGGCGUGACCAGCAGAAGAAGCACCGGUUAACACCGUGCCAGCAGCCGGGGAAAAC